rnacentral:rRNA from 1 species
UACCAGCACCCCGAGUGGUCGGGACGUUUAUUGGGCCUAAAGCAUCCGUAGCCGGUUCUACAAGUCUUCCGUUAAAUCCAGCUGCUUAACAGAUGGGCUGCAGAAGAUACUAUGGAGCUAGGAGGCGGGAGAGGCAAGCGGUACUCGAUGGGUAGGGGUAAAAUCCGUUGAUCCAUUGAAGACCACCAGUGGCGAAGGCGGCUUGCCAGAACGCGCUCGACGGUGAGGGAUGAAAGCUGGGGGAGCAAACCGG